UAUUACGCCUCAGACAACUCUGGUUAUAAAACCUAUUUCAUUACUUGUAUAAUUUAUUUAACCGCGCCGUUAAGAAUAGAUAACAUCUACUAAUACAUAUUGUUUUUAAACAUGUAUACCGCACUGGCGUGUAAAGGAUGCUCAGUUACGUAAACGUUUUAAUGUAUAAGAUUUAUCACGUAUGCAGUCAAAGUGGAAUAACAUAUUCACAUGAAAAGGCGCGCUAGAGGGAGGUCGAUGUCAUCAUGGAUGGAUAACUUAAAAGAAUUAACAUUAAUCCUUCCCAUGGAUGAAUAACUCUGCAGCACACAACAGACUUGACUGGAGGAGGAUUUCUGUAUUGAAGUCCCUCAUUUCUCCCCAACUGCCAAACCGGUCAAGAGAUUGAUGAUGAUGAUGAUAAUGAUGAUGAUGACGUCGACGACGACGACGAUGAUGAUGAUAUCAAAAUAUGAAAAAAAAAGUUAAGCAAGAUCUGUUCCGUACUUUGAGCAUGCAAUAUAAGUGCUCUUGUCUACAAAUACACCAAGUCCGAGAAACGCUGUUCUCUGUAAGACUCAACUGUCUUAUGUGCACUUUUUGGUAAUUUUGGUCUUAAAAACCGUUCGACAAUA